rnacentral:rRNA from 1 species
UGGCGGACGGGUGAGUAAUGUCUGGGAAACUGCCUGAUGGAGGGGGAUAACUACUGGAAACGGUAGCUAAUACCGCAUAACGUCGCAAGACCAAAGAGGGGGACUUCGGGCCUCUUGCCAUCGGAUGUGCCCAGAUGGGAUUAGCUAGUAGGUGGGGUAACGGCUCACCUAGGCGACGAUCCCUAGCUGGUCUGAGAGGAUGACCAGCCACACUGGAACUGAGACACGGUCCAG